rnacentral:rRNA from 1 species
UACGAAGGGUGCAAGCGUUAUUCGGAAUUACUGGGCGUAAAGCGUGCGUAGGUGGUCUUUUAAGUCCGUUGUGAAAGCCCUGGGCUCAACCUGGGAAUGGCAGUGGAUACUGGAAGGCUGGAGUACGGUAGAGGAGGGUGGAAUUCCUGGUGUAGCGGUGAAAUGCGUAGAGAUCGGGAGGAACAUCAGUGGCGAAGGCGGCCCUCUGGACCAGUACUGACGCUGAGGCACGAAAGCGUGGGGAGCAAACAGG